rnacentral:rRNA from 1 species
CCUACGGGAGGCAGCAGUGAGGAAUAUUGGUCAAUGGACGAGAGUCUGAACCAGCCAAGUAGCGUGAAGGAUGACUGCCCUAUGGGUUGUAAACUUCUUUUAUAUGGGAAUAAAACGUUCCACGUGUGGGAUUUUGUAUGUACCAUAUGAAUAAGGAUCGGCUAACUCCGUGCCAGCAGCCGCGGUAAUAUGGAGGAUCCGAGCGUUAUCCGGAUUUAUUGGGUUUAAAGGGAGCGUAGGUGGAUUGUUAAGUCAGUUGUGAAAGUUUGCGGCUCAACCGUAAAAUUGCAGUUGAAACUGGCAGUCUUGAGUACAGGAGAGGUGGGCGGAAUUCGUGGUGUAGCGGUGAAAUGCUUAGAUAUCACGAAGAACUCCGAUUGCGAAGGCAGUUCACUGGACUGCAACUGACACUGAGGCUCGAAAGUGUGGGUAUCAAACAGGAUUAGAUACCCCAGUAGUC